AGUGAACGCUGGCGGUAGGCCUAACACAUGCAAGUCGAACGAGUGGCGGACGGGUGAGGAAUACAUCGGAAUCUACUCUGUCGUGGGGGAUAACGAAGGGAAACUUACGCUAAUACCGCAUACGAUAGAAUGAGCCGAUGUCGGAUUAGCUAGUUGGCGGGGUAAAGGCCCACCAAGGCGACGAUCCGUAGCUGGUCUGAGAGGAUGAUCAGCAACACUGGACCGGGGACACGGUCCAGACCCCUACGGGAGGCAGCAGUGGGGAAUAUUGGCCAAGGGGCGCAAGCCUGAUCAAGCCUUACCGCGUGGGGGAAGAAGGCCUUCGGGUUGUAAAGCCCUUUUGUUAGGAAAGCGGUACCCAAAGAAUAAGCCCCGGCUACCUUCGUGCCAGCCGCCGCGGUAAUA
rnacentral:rRNA from 1 species